rnacentral:rRNA from 1 species
UACGGGGGGAACAAGUGUUAUUCAUCAUAACUGGGCGUAAAGGGCGUUAAGAUGGUUUUUAAAUCACAAAUAAUUUCUUAUUAAAUUAUUUAUGAGCUAUUUAAAAACUCGAAUAAAGUAGAAAUCUGUAGAAUUUAUUUUAUAGGGGUGAAAUGCGGUAUAGAAUAGAGACUAUCUACGGGCGAAGGCGACAGAUUAUAUUCUAUUGACAUUGAAACGCAAAAGCAUAGGGAGCAAACAGG